AAAUAUCUCAAUGGAUAAAGUGAUUAUUGCGCAGAAAGAAAAAGAGAGUUACCAAUCGUACCACUACCGAUCGCUCAAUAUUUUUUUAAACCGUCUUCCACUUCCUCUUCAACGUCCACCAUUAUUACAGCAGAACACAUACGUCAGAGAAGUGUCAGCUCAAAAAGCGAGCCAAAUCUUGAAGACCAACUGAUUCAUUGAUGAGAUCAUGCAACUAAAACCAGCACGGUCGUGCCAAAAUACCCGGAAAUUUUCUCUUUUCUUACUUGCAAAAAUCAUAUAUAAUAUAUUAUUAUAUUACUUAUGUGGUGAUCGAAUCGUCGGAAUAUAUCUCCGUUCUAUCGUAACAGUUAAGGGUUAAUCGCAGGAUGGUGACAAUAACUUCUGUCUUCUUAGAAGAAUUGCAAAGCUUUAGAUGAUGAAAGUUUCAGGUCGUCGGAUGAAAACUUCGUUUUCGAGGGAUUCUGAUGUUUUUGGUUCCCGAAUUCACAAGUACAAAUUUUACAUCGCCAGAUCUAAGGAAAUUAAUUUGUAUAUUUAGAAAUCCGAAAUUCGGAGUUUAAAGUUUUACAGGAAACCGAAGUUCUAAAACAAUUAACAUUAAAUUCACGAUAAAUGUUUGGAAUAAAAAUAAUAUCGGCGAUAACUGGCGUCUGUAACAGAAUUUUACAUCCGCAGUUAAUCAACUUCAGAAAAGAUAACAUCAUAAUUCAUUAAUUCCAAAUAUGAAAUUUACAUAUUCAAAACCUAUUAGAAUAAUUAAUUCUGGUAGACCCUGUAAAAAAAAAAACUAAAAUUUCAUAAUUGAAGACAGCGUUAACGUUAAUUUAAAGGAAUUUGAAAUUGUUAAAUCAGAAGAAUUGAACAAACAGUGGACACAGUUGGCGAUGAAACGAAGUUUCCAGGGUGAAACAAAGGCGACAAUAAUUUUUGCCUUCGCCGAAGCCGCCGACUAGGAAAGAGGAAGGCAUAAAACGACAUUGCUCCGGAUCGGCACGUGCCACUCGAUAAAUCUGUCGGCAGCUGACGGCACAGCCGGCUGCAGCCUCCCGCCUGCACUUGCGCUUUCUCCCUUCUUUCUCCCCUGUGUCUUAACGUUUCUUCCGCCCCCUCCUCAACCUUCUUGCAAUCCCUUCGCUCUUACGUGAACUCCUCGCGACCCUUCUUCGCGGCCACGCCAAGCGUUACAUGUAUCUUCGUGACUGAAUGCUAGGAUCACAUCUUCGAAGCAUUACAUUAUAAUUGGAUGCGUAUUUUUAUUUACGCAGAAGUGCAAGAACGCACAGAAUUCGCAUAAUAUAGAAAAGUAUAUAAAAUACGCAAAGUUUAUCAGCUAUUAUAAUAUGAAAUUUCUGCCACUCUAAUUAUAAUAGAUUUGUCCAUAUAUUAAAUGAAUAUUUGAAUUAAAACAUUCGCUGUUAAUUAGAAUAUAGCGAAUCGCCAUUGAAAUUGCAUCUUUGUCCGUGAAAAACGUCUUUAUUUUAAGUAACAAUGUUUCCUCUUCGAUACUAUUUUGUUUGCCUUUCACAAAUGCACAUAACCUAUACUGUAAAAAUUGCGUCAGCGUUGGUUAGCGUUAUUACUUGGACAAUGGAAUUGACGCAUAGAAUGCGUCAAUAGCAGCGAAUGUUAAUUAGUGCUCCUGGAACCGAAUUUUGUUGUGCUAUGUUCUCUUUUCGUUAAUUAUUUAUUACAGAAACAUGCUUCCUCUAAAGUUUUUACGAGAAAGUAUAAUGUACUAAAUGAAUUUAUUUCAUUAGAAGUCAUAGAAUUUGCAAAUUAGAACCUUCAUAAAUAUAAUGUAAUACAUAUCGAUAAUUAAAGAAAAAUACAUCGAUAAUGUGUUACUAAAUUUUAAAUUGUACGUAGCCGUAUUACAAUAAAUGAUCCUAACCUUCA